GGCAAGCGCAGGCUACCAUGCAGUCGAGGGGUAUUGGUUUUCGGACCAAGAGACCGGCGCACGGGUGCGUAACGCGUAUGCAAUCUACCUUUUGCAGAGGGAUAGCCCAGAGAAAUUUGGAUUAAUACCUCAUAGUAUAGCAGUUUCGCAUGAGACCACUAUUAAAGUCACAACGGCAAAAGAUGAGCAUGCGUCCCAUUAGCUAGUUGGUAAGGUAACGGCUUACCAAGGCAACGAUGGGUAGGGGUCCUGAGAGGGAGAUCCCCCACACUGGUACUGAGACACGGACCAGACUCCAACGGGAGGCAGCAGUGAGGAAUAUUGGACAAUGGGCGCAAGCCUGAUCCAGCCAUGCCGCGUGCAGGAUGACGGUCCUAUGGAUUGUAAACUGCUUUUGUACAGGAAGAAACACCUCUACGUGUAGAGAUUUGACGGUACUGUAAGAAUAAGGAUCGGCUAACUCCGUGCCAGCAGCCGCGGUAAUACGGAGGAUCCAAGCGUUAUCCGGAAUCAUUGGGUUUAAAGGGUCCGUAGGCGGUUUAGUAAGUCAGUGGUGAAAGCCCAUCGCUCAACGGUGGAACGGCCAUUGAUACUGCUAGACUUGAAUUAUUAGGAAGUAACUAGAAUAUGUAGUGUAGCGGUGAAAUGCUUAGAGAUUACAUGGAAUACCAAUUGCGAAGGCAGGUUACUACUAAUUGAUUGACGCUGAUGGACGAAAGCGUGGGUAGCGAACAGGAUUAGAUACCCUGGUAGUCCACGCCGUAAACGAUGGAUACUAGCUGUUGGGCGCAAGUUCAGUGGCUAAGCGAAAGUGAUAAGUAUCCCACCUGGGGAGUACGUUCGCAAGAAUGAAACUCAAAGGAAUUGACGGGGGCCCGCACAAGCGGUGGAGCAUGUGGUUUAAUUCGAUGAUACGCGAGGAACCUUACCAAGGCUUAAAUGUAGAU
rnacentral:rRNA from 1 species